rnacentral:misc_RNA from 1 species
GGGUUGGUGUUCUUCUCUCUGUAGUCUUUACCAACAAAUCAAAGCAAUUAUUUAUGGACUUACACUGUAGUAAGAUAGAGGAGAGUAAUAAAUAAAUACAAUUCAACUCUUUACUCUAAUCUGUGCUCCAUCCUUCUACCAUGUCUGCUUCAAAGCUUUCAAUUAUAGGGAUCACCUUGCUUCUAUGGUAUUGCUGCUCUUUGCUACUAUUUACCAAGGCAAAUAGCCAAACUACUCAUCCAGAUGAAGUAAAAGCAUUGCGUGCCAUCAAGAAUAGUUUGGUUGAUCCAAAUGGGAAUCUCAGCAACUGGAGGAGAGGAGAUCCAUGUAUCUCAAAUUGGACUGGGGUUUUGUGCUACAAUCAAACAAACAAUGAUGGUUAUUUUCAUGUUCGAGAACUGCAAUUACUGGAUAUGGAUCUGUCAGGAAAUUUGUCACCGGAGCUUGGUCGCUUAUCUUACAUGAGAAUAUUGGAUGUAAUGUGGAAUGCAAUUAGCGGGACAAUCCCAAAGGAGAUAGGAAAUAUCAAAACACUUGAAUUAUUGCUUCUGAAUGGAAAUGAAUUGACGGGUUCUCUGCCUGAAGAGCUUGGUUAUCUUCCCAACUUGAACAGGAUACAAAUUGAUCAAAACCACAUAUCAGGUCCCUUACCUGUAUCAUUUGCAAAGUUGGAAAAAGCAGCACAUUUCCACAUGAAUAACAAUUCAAUAAGUGGACAAAUUCCACCAGAGCUAUCUAAACUUCCAAAACUACUUCACUUGCUUCUUGAUAAUAACAACUUAUCGGGCUACCUUCCACCAGAGCUUGCUCAAAUUCCAAAUUUGCGCAUACU